rnacentral:rRNA from 1 species
AGAUUGAACGCUGGCGGCAUGCCUUACACAUGCAAGUCGAACGGCAGCACGGGAGCAAUCCUGGUGGCGAGUGGCGAACGGGUGAGUAAUAUAUCGGAACGUGCCCAGUCGUGGGGGAUAACGUAGAGAAAUUUACGCUAAUACCGCAUACGAUCUAAGGAUGAAAGCGGGGGACUUCGCAAGAGGCCUCGCGCGAUUGGAGCGGCUGAUAUCAGAUUAGGUUGUUGGUGAGGUAAAAGCUCACCAAGCCGACGAUCUGUAGCUGGUUUGAGAGAACGACCAGCCACACGUGGACUGAGACACGGCCCAGACUCCGUACGGGAGCAG